rnacentral:rRNA from 1 species
UACAGAGGUCCCAAGCGUUGUUCGGAUUCACUGGGCGUAAAGGGUGCGUAGGCGGUCGGGUAAGUCUGAUGUGAAAUCUCACAGCUUAACUGUGAAACUGCAUUGGAUACUAUCCGGCUCGAGGGAAUGGAGGGGAGACUGGAAUACUUGGUGUAGCAGUGAAAUGCGUAGAUAUCGAAGUGGAACACCAGUGGCGAAGGCGAGUCUCUGGACAUUUCCUGACGCUGAGGCACGAAAGCCAGGGGAGCAAACGGG